GACAGAGGGUGCAAACGUUGUUCGGAAUUACUGGGCGUAAAGCGCGUGUAGGCUGUCUCGAAAGUCGGAUGUGAAAGCCCUGGGCUCAACCUAGGAAGUGCAUUCGAAACUUCGAGACUCGAGUCCUGGAGAGGAUCGCGGAAUUCUCGGUGUAGAGGUGAAAUUCGUAGAUAUCGAGAGGAACACCGGUGGCGAAGGCGGCGAUCUGGACAGUGACUGACGCUGAGACGCGAAAGCUAGGGGAGCAAACAGG
rnacentral:rRNA from 1 species